rnacentral:rRNA from 1 species
CUACGGGACGCAGCAGUGGGGAAUAUUGGACAAUGGGGGAAACCCUGAUCCAGCAAUGCCGCGUGUGUGAAGAAGGCCUGCGGGUUGUAAAGCACUUUCGGUUGGGAGGACUGCUUCUAGCACUAAUAUUGUUGGAAGUUGACGUUACCUUCAGAAGAAGCACCGGCUAACUCCGUGCCAGCAGCCGCGGCAAUACGGAGGGUGCAAGCGUUAAUCGGAAUUACUGGGCGUAAAGCGCGCGUAGGCGGCUAGAUCAGUCGGGUGUGAAAGCCCCGGGCUUAACCUGGGAACUGCAUCCGAUACUGUCUAGCUUGAGUACAGGAGAGGAGAGUGGAAUUCCACAUGUAGCGGUGAAAUGCGUAGAUAUGUGGAGGAACACUAAUGGCGAAGGCAGCUCUCUGGCCUGAUACUGACGCUGAGGUGCGAAAGCGUGGGGAGCAAACAGGAUUAGAUACCCGCGUAGUC